AUUUGAAGGAUAAACGCUUUAAAGCGAGUUAAAGAGCAAGCUGCUCUCGAAGGACGAAAGUUGGAUGAGGUAGUUGAAGAAUUGUGGGGUUCAUUGAGUCAACUAGCUGUUUCUGUUGCAUCCCGCAAAGUUGCCCCAAACCAUGCUCAUCUUCAUGCCAUCAAAAGUAGAAGGGGUGUAAUGGGAGAGUGAUCUGUUGAGAAGGUAAUUCUCUAAAUUAACUACUUUAGUCACCUUAAUUCUAUGUCAUAUGUGUGUUUUGUCUUAAUGUAUUCUAAUGUUUUAUUGAUUCUUGUUUCUUCCAACUCCCAUACUUCGUAUAAGCAUUGUCCUUAAAAUCUCUAGAUUCAAUUUUUUUUUAAUAAAUAAUUGUUGACUCUGGGUUGUUUGAUUGGAAGUUUUCUAACUUUAAUGACUUUCUAUACUAUGAGGAUUAUUGGGUUUUUGUCUUGUGACCUUAAAAUAGUUGAAUUUUGAUGGGUGUCUAAGUUUUCAAUCUGUAUUAGGCUGGUUUGGUGCACAGCGUUCAUUU